AAAUAAAGAAGAGACAAAAAGCUGAAAGGAGAAGGUGGUGAAGAGUGGUUCUGACUUGUCACGGACACAACCUUACAUACAUUAGAUUUGUGGUUCCAUAUGAUGACGUGCCCCAGUCACGCCUCCACGUGCGCAUUAUUCCACUCCCCACUAUAUUUAUACUUACUUUUAUCUAAAGUAAUUACAACAAGAAAAAAAAUACUCGAGUUUUAGGACCAUAUAUGCUCUAA
rnacentral:lncRNA from 1 species